rnacentral:tRNA from 1 species
GGGGGUAUGGCUCAGUUGGUAGAGCAUCGCACUGUCCCUGCGAAGGUCACGGGUUCAAGCCCCGUUGCCCCCGCCA